UGCUUUAUGAGUACAACAGUAUAUUUGACUUCCAAUCAGACGGUCUUGGUGAAAAUCUAAGAUAGAGCAGC
rnacentral:tRNA from 1 species